rnacentral:rRNA from 1 species
CCUACGGGAGGCAGCAGUGGGGAAUAUUGGGCAAUGGGCGCAAGCCUGACCCAGCAACGCCGCGUGAAGGAAGAAGGCUUUCGGGUUGUAAACUUCUUUUAUCAGGGACGAAGCAAGCGACGGUACCUGAUGAAUAAGCGACGGCUAACUACGUGCCAGCAGCGGCGGUAAUACGUAGGUGGCAAGCGUUAUCCGGAUUUACUGGGUGUAAAGGGCGUGUAGGCGGGAGUGCAAGUCAGAUGUGAAAACUAUGGGCUCAACCCAUAGCCUGCAUUUGAAACUGUACUUCUUGAGUGCUGGAGAGGUAAGCGGAAUUCCUGGUGUAGCGGUGAAAUGCGUAGAUAUUAGGAAGAACACCAGUGGCGAAGGCGGCUUGCUGGACCAUAACUGACGUUGAGGCUCGAAAGCGUGGGGAGCAAACAGGAUUAGAUACCCGGGUAGUC